rnacentral:rRNA from 1 species
UACGGAGGGCGCGAGCGAUGUUCGGACUCAUUGGGCGUAAAGCGCGUGUAGGCGGCUUGGCAAGUCGGGUGUGAAAUCCCGGGGCCCAACCCCGGAACUGCAUUCGAAACUGCCUCGCUAGAGUCCCGGAGAGGAAGGCGGAAUUCCCGGUGUAGAGGUGAAAUUCGUAGAUAUCGGGAGGAACACCAGCGGCGAAGGCGGCCUUCUGGACGGUGACUGACGCUGAGACGCGAAAGCGUGGGGAGCAAACAGG